GACGAACGCUGGCGGCGUGCCUAACACAUGCAAGUCGAACGGUAAGGCCCCUUCGGGGGUACACGAGUGGCGAACGGGUGAGUAACACGUGAGCAACCUGCCCUUGACUUCGGGAUAACAUCUGGAAACAGAUGCUAAUACCGAAUACCAACCUUUGGAGACAUCUCCGCGGGUUGAAAGCUCCGGCGGUCAAGGAUGGGCUCGCGGCCUAUCAGCUAGUUGGUGAGGUAAUGGCUCACCAAGGCUUCGACGGGUAGCCGGCCUGAGAGGGCGACCGGCCACACUGGGACUGAGAUGCGGCCCAG
rnacentral:rRNA from 1 species